rnacentral:lncRNA from 1 species
CGCAGCGCUUCGUUGUGUAUCCACUAUCAAGCAAGUUUGUGAAAUGGCUGGGUGUUUUUUAGGUACACUGCAUGUGAAACAGCCAAGUUUGUUCCCACAUCUGGACUAGUUUUCA